CUUUAAUAUUAACUGUUAAUUCUAUCGAGCGAGAUGCCCAUAUACUCUUAUUGCUGAUUGGUAUGGCCCAGAUUAAUCUUGAGUAUUUAUAAAUUAAAGUUUCUUUUUAUUAAUUGCGAGGUCCAUACCCAUGGUUUCACAAAUUUUCGGCCAUUUUCAGAAAGGUUGAAAAAAUCACUAUCCGAUGAAUAGUAGCCACUGGAUGGCGUUUACUAACCUGCGAUCAGGCAUAUAAAUA